rnacentral:ncRNA from 2 species
UCGACAACUGCACACGCGUGUGGCCGAGGGAAGCCGGUGGGAAUCCGGCACUGACCUGCAACCGUGAGCGGCGCCCGGGGGCGCCGUGAGUCGGAUCGCUCGCGCCGCAUGUGAGAC